GUUUUGUGAUGCAUUUUUCAGAAUUUUGAGAUUUUCUUGCUGUUUUCUCUCUGUAUAAUUCCGUUUCUUUGAUCCAUUUUAAUGAUGUUUAUGUAAGGAAUAGUGAAAGACUAUUCUCAAGUGAUGGGGUGUUUGAUUUUUCUUUUUUAAUUUUUUUUUGUGGUGCAUUCUUUUUUCCAGAUUUUUAAGAUUUUGGUAUCUGCAGGAUUUCAUUUUGGUCCAUUUUGAUGAUGUUUAGUGAAAAGAUUGUAUUUUUAAGUGAUGGGUUGUUUGUUUUUUUGCUGUUUUGUUUUUGCCAGAGUUGUAAGAUUUUGUUUUUGGGAAAUGCAGGAAGGUGUUUUAAAGAAGGAUCAGUUUUGAAAUGGUAGGUGGUAUUGAAGAACCAUUUAGGCAUAGUUUUCAGGAAAAGAAAGAAGCAGAGAUCAAACCGCUACGGAGAAAUCUCAAUUUCAAAGCAAAUCCCAUGCCCGCCUUCUACCGUGAACCUGACCACCGCUCAGAAAAAACCAAGGUUUCUUCGGGUUCAACAGCUAAUGUACUUAAUCAACAUAAAAGCACUGAAUAACAACCAAUAGCAAGAAAGGUUGUCGCUUCUCGUGCUUCCUGUACAGAGAAAGUUAGCCAUAGAUUAUAUCAAAGUGUAAACAGGAUAAGGAGAGUGUAAAUUCAUGUAAACCAGGCGUGACACAGAAUGGAUCUAGUUUCUGCUUCAAAACAGAAGAGCGGGCCAGGAAAAGGAAAGAGGCAAGGACCAAUUUCUUGUGUCUACUCGAUAAAGUUCAAACGU